GACGAACGCUGGCGGUGUGCUUAACACAUGCAAGUCGAACGGUAAGGCCCUUUCGGGGGUACACGAGUGGCGAACGGGUGAGUAACACGUGAGUAACCUGCCCUCAUCUCUGGGAUAACAGUCGGUAACUGUUGCUAAUACUGGAUAUGUGCUUGCAUGUCAUCUUGUGGGUUGGAAAGAUUUUUUUUGGUUGGGGAUGUUCUCGCGGCCUAUCAGCUUGUUGGUGAGGUAGUGGCUCACCAAGGCUUCGACGGGUAGCCGGCCUGAGAGAGCGACCGGCCACAGUGGGUGUGAGAUACGGCCCAGACACCUACGGGUGGCAGCAGUGUGGAAUAUUGCACAAUGGACGGAAGUCUGAUACAGCAACGCCGCGUGAGGGAUGACAGCCUUCGGGUUGUAAACCGCUUUCAAUUGGGACGAAGCUUUUUUGUGACGGUAGCAGUAGAAGAAGCACCGGCUAACUACGUG
rnacentral:rRNA from 1 species